GAAAUGUGCUCUUUGCUUCCACAGUCUUCAGCCAGUUAGUGCUUAUGAUAAAUAUUUUAAUAGUUAUCACAAAUGUUUUUAUCGUUGCUAUGAGGGUUGCUAUGACGCUGCCAUGCCAGCACGGCGCAGCGUGCUGUUAAAAACACUGUCCCUGCGUGGUGUCCUUCAGUGAUCGUGAAUGUUAUUCACGUUAUAUAAUAUUAAUAUUUGAGGCUAGAUUACACCUCUAAUGCGAAGGAUCCUGCGAGACCGUUCAUCCCGAAGGGGGACCGACUGCGCCACGGACGGACCGGGCGAGCGGAACUGACGUGUGGCUUUUAGUAAACAUCCGGACCUUUAACUCUGGGCUGCGUAAUAACCACCGAGCGCUUGGAAGACAAACGAUGUCAUCUUCCUUCUGUCAGGAGGAUCCAAGUGAAGCUACAGGAGUUUCAUUAACGUCAAUAACUUGGACCAAACACUUUGUUUUGCUUGAUGAAGAGCAGGAAGGGUAGCCUGGAGAGAAAGAGAAGCCGGGUUGAGCCCACUACCAUCAUCCACGUACCACGAGGAAGAUGAGGGAGAGAAAUGAUCCUACCAUUAUAGAGACUGUGAAAAGAACGUUGAGAACAUCACCAUUCUACAGGAAGACACAGUCCAGUAAUGGGUGUCAGAAGUUCAGUAGUGAACGACAGGAAGGACUGAUGCAUGUACUGAGACGGGACGUGAGGGCCUACUCUGCGUGCUCAGAGUUCAAGCCCAGCAGGCUGCAGCGGGCCUGACAUAUUCCGGAACAGCAGCACAGACUUUGGAUGACUCCUCUGAAGAUGAAAUCAUGGCGAGUUCUUCUCAAGAGAAGCAGUACAGGUGUGCCUCAGCUCCAUGGUCCCUCCUGCAGCCUCCGCUCCUGAUGCUAACCUCAUGUCUCCAUCACACCAAGCAGCAGACCUGGAGUGACAGACCUUUCUCCAGAGCUACUCCCUCCCUCUGAAACCCCCCUCUCCAAAACACUAUUUGUGGCGUUUUUAAAGUCUUAUUUGCAUGAGAAUUGUUGAUCAUAACAUUUC